UCGGGAAUUUUGGGCAAUGGGCGAAAGCCUGACCCAGCAACGCCGCGUGAAGGAUGAAGUCUUUCGGGAUGUAAACUUCGUAAGAAUAGGAAGAAUAAAUGACGGUACUAUUUGUAAGGUCCGGCUAACUACGUGCCAGCAGCCGCGGUAAUACGUAGGGACCAAGCGUUGUUCGGAUUUACUGGGCGUAAAGGGCGCGUAGGCGGCGUGACAAGUCAAUUGUGAAAUCUCCGGGCUUAACUCGGAACGGUCAAUUGAUACUGUUGUGCUAGAGUACAGAAGGGGCAAUCGGAAUUCUUGGUGUAGCGGUGAAAUGCGUAGAUAUCAAGAGGAACACCUGAGGUGAAGACGGGUUGCUGGGCUGAUACUGACGCUGAGGCGCGAAAGCUAGGGUAGCAAACGG
rnacentral:rRNA from 1 species